rnacentral:rRNA from 1 species
AUAGAGUCAAGUGACUAAGUGCAUGUGGUGGAUGCCUUGGCGAUUACAGGCGAAGAAGGACGUAGUAGCUUGCGAUAAGCUGCGGGGAGUCGGCAAACAGACUUUGAUCCGCAGAUUUCCGAAUGGGGAAACCCAACCAGCAAUGGUUAUCCCGCAAGGGAAGCGAACCCGGAGAACUGAAACAUCUAAGUACCCGGAGGAAAAGAAAUCAACCGAGAUUCCGAAAGUAGUGGCGAGCGAAAUCGGAGGAGCCGUAUAGUGUUAUAGUGACGAGAUAGGAGAAAUACCUGGGAAGGUAUGCCAUAGUGGGUGAUAGCCCCGUAUCUGAAAUCCGACAUUAAGAACUAAGCUAUAGAGAAGUAGGGCGGGACACGAGAAAUCCUGUUUGAAGAUGGGGGGACCAUCCUCCAAGGCUAAAUACUCGUAAUCGACCGAUAGUGAACCAGUACCGUGAGGGAAAGGCGAAAAGAACCCCGGGAGGGGAGUGAAAUAGAACCUGAAACUGCAUGCAUACAAACAGUGGGAGCCCCAGCUUAAAGCACCUUGUAGUUCUUUCAAUGAGCAAGUGAAACUUGCGAAUUAAAAGACCAACAAAAGUGAAAUAGCUGGAAACAGAUAAAAGCCUGAAUAAAGAUCAGGGUGUUUUAAGCUGGGGUGACUGCGUACCUUUUGUAUAAUGGGUCAGCGACUUACAUUCAGUAGCAAGCUUAACCGAGUAGGGGAGGCGUAGGGAAACCGAGUCUUAAUAGGGCGAUAGUUGCUGGGUGUAGACCCGAAACCGGGUGAGCUAUCCAUGGCCAGGAUGAAGGUGCAGUAACAUGCACUGGAGGUCCGAACCGACUAAUGUUGCAAAAUUAGCGGAUGAGCUGUGGAUAGGGGUGAAAGGCUAAACAAACCCGGAGAUAGCUGGUUCUCCUCGAAAACUAUUUAGGUAGUGCCUCGUGGUUGAUACUUCUUGGGGUAGAGCACUGUUAUGGCUAGGGGGUUAUUGCAACUUACCAAACCAUGGCAAACUCCGAAUACGAGAAAGUAAUACACGGGAGACAGACAUCUGGUGCUAACGUCAGGUGUCAAAAGGGAAACAACCCAGACCGCCAGCUAAGGUCCCAAAUGAUCAAUUAAGUGGUAAACGAUGUGGGAAGGCAUAGACAGCUAGGAUGUUGGCUUAGAAGCAGCCAUCAUUUAAAGAAAGCGUAAUAGCUCACUAGUCAAGUCGUCCUGCGCGGAAGAUGUAACGGGGCUAAAUUGAUAACCGAAGCUGCGGAUUCACAGUAAUGUGAGUGGUAGAGGAGCGUUCUGUAGGCCGAUGAAGGUGUGUUGAAAAGCAUGCUGGAGGUAUCAGAAGUGCGAAUGCUGACAUGAGUAGCGUUAAAGCGGGUGAAAAGCCCGCUCGCCGAAAGUCCAAGGAUUCCUACGCAACGUUAAUCGGCGUAGGGUGAGUCGGCCCCUAAGGUGAGGCAGAGAUGCGUAGCUGAUGGGAAACAGGUUAAUAUUCCUGUACCGAUGUAUAGUGCGAUGGGGGACGGAGAAAGUUAGGCCAGCCAACUGUUGGAAUAGUUGGUUUAAGCAUGUAGGUGGGGAAGUUAGGCAAAUCCGGCUUUCUAACACUGAGGUGUGAUGACGAUUACCUACGGGUAAGAAGUGGUUGAUACUAAGCUUCCAGGAAAAGCCUCUAAGCUUCAGCUGUACACGACCGUACCGCAAACCGACACUGGUGGACGAGAUGAGUAUUCUAAGGCGCUUGAGAGAACUCUGGAGAAGGAACUCGGCAAAUUAGCACCGUAACUUCGGGAGAAGGUGCGCCCCGAUGAUGUGUAGGAAUUUACUUCCGAAGCAGUAAGGGGUUGCAGUGAAAUGGUGGCUGAGACUGUUUAUUAAAAACACAGCACUCUGCAAACACGAAAGUGGACGUAUAGGGUGUGACGCCUGCCCGGUGCUGGAAGAUUAAAUGAUGGGGUGCAAGCUCUUGAUUGAAGUCCCAGUAAACGGCGGCCGUAACUAUAACGGUCCUAAGGUAGCGAAAUUCCUUGUCGGGUAAGUUCCGACCCGCACGAAUGGCGUAACGAUGGCCACACUGUCUCCUCCAGAGACUCAGCGAAGUUGAAAUGUUUGUGAAGAUGCAAUCUCCCCGCGGCUAGACGGAAAGACCCCAUGCACCUUUACUGCAGCUUUGCAUUGGACUUUGACCAUAUUUGUGUAGGAUAGGUGGGAGGCUUUGAAGUUGUGACGCUAGUCACAAUGGAGCCGACGUUGAAAUACCACCCUGAUAUGUUUGAGGUUCUAACCUAGGUGUAACAGCACCGGGGACAGUACAUGGUAGGCAGUUUGACUGGGGCGGUCUCCUCCCAAAGAGUAACGGAGGAGUACGAAGGUAACCUUAUCACGGACGGAAAUCGUGAGGAAAGUGCAAUGGCAAAAGGUUGCUUGACUGCGAGACUGACAAGUCGAGCAGGUGCGAAAGCAGGUCAUAGUGAUCCGGUGGUUCUGAAUGGAAGGGCCAUCGCUCAACGGAUAAAAGGUACGCUGGGGAUAACAGGCUGAUACCGCCCAAGAGUUCACAUCGACGGCGGUGUUUGGCACCUCGAUGUCGGCUCAUCUCAUCCUGGGGCUGUAGUCGGUCCCAAGGGUAUGGCUGUUCGCCAUUUAAAGAGGUACGUGAGCUGGGUUUAAAACGUCGUGAGACAGUUUGGUCCCUAUCUGCCGUGGGCGUUGGAGAUUUGAGGGGGGCUGCUCCUAGUACGAGAGGACCGGAGUGGACACACCUCUGGUGUACCGGUUGUGACGCCAGUCGCAUUGCCGGGUAGCUAAGUGUGGAAGAGAUAACCGCUGAAAGCAUCUAAGUGGGAAACUUGCCUCGAGAUAAGAUCUCCCUUGUGCCGUGAGCACACUGAAGGGUCGUUGAAGACUACAACGUUGAUAGGUCGGGUGUGGAAGCGCAGUAAUGUGUUAAGCUAACCGAUACUAAUUGCCCGAGAGGCUUGACUCUAUUAUUUUAGUAGUUU